UACGGGGGGAGCAAGCGUUGUUCGGAUUUACUGGGCGUAAAGGGCGCGUAGGCGGCCAGCACAAGUCAGUUGUGAAAUCUCCGAGCUUAACUCGGAAAGGUCAACUGAUACUGUGCGGCUAGAGUGCGGAAGGGGCAACUGGAAUUCUUGGUGUAGCGGUGAAAUGCGUAGAUAUCAAGAGGAACACCUGCGGCGAAGGCGGGUUGCUGGGCCGACACGUGACGCUGAUGCGCGAAAGCCAGGGGAGCGAACGGG
rnacentral:rRNA from 1 species